GUCAGCACAAGGCCAUAUACUGCUGAGAUGGACCGUGGCAGGAGCGGGAGAGGAGCGGCGUCAGGGCCUACAAACAAAGUGAUCCACCACCACCAUCACCACCACCACCAAGAACAUGAGGAGAGAUCGGCCAAUGAACCCAAGGCGGACGCAAGCCAAGGACCCAUCAAGGCUUCGGGAGUGUCUGCAAUCAACUCCUUAAAGUAUUUGGAGGCUGAAGGAGGAAGACAAGGAGGGUGCACAGGAGGAAGGGCAAGUGUUUCUGUCGCUCUGUUGUACCAAGAACUCUGAAGACGAGGAGGAAUACGGUGUCUGUGUUCUCUUCUUUAUUGGGAAAGAGAAGACGAAGAAGACAAUGAAUUUCCGUCUCUAUCACUCCGUCUAAGAAGCUGGAAGACUCACACGCUGUUCUGUCACCGAUCGGGCCACUCGUCCUUCAUCGG